GCUGGCUGCUCCCGCUCGCCUCUUGGGGUGCGCUCGGCUCCAGCCCAACUCCGCCAGCUCCGCCGGCUCCAGCACCGCUCCAACCCGAUUCCAGCCGGAUUCCAGCCCGAUUCCAGCCCGGUUCCAGCCCGAUUCCAGCCCGGUUCCAGCCCAGCUCCGUCCCGGCUCCGGUUCUUCUCCGCCACGCCUCUCUGUCGACGCUGAGGAGCAGCUUCGCAGGAAAAUCCCAGAAACCUUUGCAAAAAGCUUACAAUGAAAUUUAAGAAGUUCUACGAUUUCGGCGCCAUUUUCGAGUGGAGUGAGAGGUGACCAUCGAUGGUUUUUUCCUCCACAAUUCCGUGUCCAUGUAAAAAUGACUUGUAAUAUAGCCAAGAAAAGACGGAAUUUUCAUUCCAACUUAAGGAGUGGGGCUGUUAUUAUUAAUGGCUUUAUUUAUCAUGACCUAAGCAAUGCAUAUGUUAGCACUGGAUCAUUAUCUGUUAUGUUAGGAAUUUUGUAUUUAGUUUAAUUACAUACUCUGUAUAUUUUAUUAAUUAAUUAAAAGGACCCAGCAUUCAUUGUACUAGUUUCGAAAAACGGACAUAAUUUUAAAUGAGAAUACAGGAAAUUUGUAUACAGAAUGUUUUUUGCUUUCAAAGGCACUGUAGUUUUGUUGUUUUAGUUAUUAGGUUUGUGGUUAAGGACUAAAGGAUGGUUUUUGUGCUUUCCUGAAUGCUUUGUUUAAACAAGGAAAUGAAUGUAACUUGUUGCUCAUGUGUGUCCAUUUUGAAAAGCAACAGUGGGAGCUGAGGAGAGCGCACAGUGCCGGCCAUUUCAAGACAAGAUUUUCAGUGGCGUGGCUUAAGAAGGAGUGAUUUGUAUUUAACAUCAAGUAUUUAAGGAUGUCAUUUAUUUAAAGUUCUUGAUUUGUGAUUUGAUGUCGAUGGUAACAAAUGUCUUUAUAAAUAAGCUUGAGUAGCCAGCAAUGUAUGAGAACAUCCAGGAAUGUAUGUUUCAUCUAGAACAUUCUCAUGCUUUGUCCUUAAAAAUAACUAAUGACGAGGUGAUUACUGUAAGAACGGAGGAAACUACUAGACAAGUCUAUUCCAUGCCUAUAGUAUUCAGUAAAACCAACUGGGACUACCCAGAGGGAUUUUUUUUUGAUUAUCAAAAGUUCCUUGCACCAAUUUCCAAUAAAUGAUCAAAACCCGGGGACAAUAAA
rnacentral:lncRNA from 1 species